UAGUCUCUUACCAUAAAAAUUGCUGCAUGUGCAGCAGCACCGACUAUUAGAAAUCCGCCAAUCCACAUGUGGUGUGUGAACAAGGAAAGUUGUGUACCAUAGUCAGUAGCUAGGUAUGGAUAGGGAGGCAUAGAAUACAUAUGAUGA